GACGAACCGAGCGAACGUUGUUCGGAAUCACUGGGCUUAAAGGGCGCGUAGGCGGACUAUCAAGUCUGGGGUGAAAUCCCGCGGCUCAACCGUGGAACUGCCUCAGAUACUGACGGUCUCGAGGGAGGUAGGGGCAUGCGGAACUGUAGGUGGAGCGGUGAAAUGCGUUGAUAUCUACAGGAACUCCGGUGGCGAAAGCGGCGUGCUGGACCUCUUCUGACGCUGAGGCGCGAAAGCUAGGGGAGCAAACAGG
rnacentral:rRNA from 1 species